CAAGUCGAGCGAGAAGACGUAGCAAUACGUUUGUAAAGCGGCGAACGGGUGAGGAAUACAUGGGUAACCUACCCUCGAGUGGGGAAUAACUAGCCGAAAGGUUAGCUAAUACCGCAUACGACUCCUGGUCUGCGGAUCGGGAGGGAAAGCGAUACCGUGGGUAUCGCGCUCUUGGAUGGGCUCAUGUCCUAUCAGCUUGUUGGUGAGGUAACGGCUCACCAAGGCUUCGACGGGUAGCUGGUCUGAGAGGACGAUCAGCCACACUGGCACUGCGACACGGGCCAGACUCCUACGGGAGGCAGCAGUAAGGAAUAUUGCGCAAUGGGCGACAGCCUGACGCAGCGACGCCGCGUGGGGGAUGAAGGUCUUCGGAUUGUAAACCCCUUUCGGCAGGGAAGAUGGAAUGGGUAACCAUUCGGACGGUACCUGCAGAAGCAGCCACGGCUAACUUCGUGCCAGCAGCCGCGGUAAUACGAAGGUGGCAAGCGUUGUUCGGAUUUACUGGGCGUACAGGGAGCGUAGGCGGUUGGGUAAGCCCUCCGUGAAAUCUCCGGGCCUAACCCGGAAAGUGCGGAGGGGACUGCUCGGCUAGAGGAUGGGAGAGGAGCGCGGAAUUCCCGGUGUAGCGGUGAAAUGCGUAGAGA
rnacentral:rRNA from 1 species